CUUAUUUGAAAUUUUUUUAUAAUUAGCAUUUUUAUUGUUAUGAGAUGAUAAAACAUAAAUAGUACUUUACUCGUGACUUCUAUUUUUAAUUUUUUUAAAAAAGUUUUCAAAUAAGACGAACGGUCAAAGUUGGGCGCCGAAAACCAUGGCUGCACUUAUU
rfam:Oryza rufipogon genomic scaffold, Scaffold_W1943_66668